rnacentral:rRNA from 1 species
UACGUAGGGUGCGAGCGUUGUCCGGAAUUAUUGGGCGUAAAGAGCUCGUAGGCGGCCUGUCGCGUCGGAUGUGAAAGCCCGGGGCUUAACCCCGGGUCUGCAUUCGAUACGGGCAGGCUAGAGUGUGGUAGGGGAGAUCGGAAUUCCUGGUGUAGCGGUGAAAUGCGUAGAUAUCUGGAGGAACACCGGUGGCGAAGGCGGCAUCCUGGACCAAUUCUGACGCUGAGGAGCGAAAGCCAGGGGAGCAAACGGG